AUGGCUAGACCCCGGGCGCCUCAAGGCCCGGAGGUUCCUCAGCCAUCUCACUUCGCCGCCUCCUGCCGGCCGCUCACGACCUCUCGCUCCGUCCCGGCGGCUCUGCUCCGCCCGGCGACAAUGGAGGGAGGGAGAGGGAAGAAAAAAGAAAAAGAAGCAAAAAAAACACGACGGCCACCACCAGCGCAAAUGGCGUGGAGCGCGCGCGCGGCCGGCCUAGCUCGGAGCGGAGUCACCAGACGAACUUGUCGGAGGAGAUGCCGCGGAGGAGCGGGAGCGCGUCGCCGGCGGCCGCGCAGCAGCACGAGUAGGCGCCGCUCUUGA
rnacentral:rRNA from 1 species